UACGUAUGUCCCGAGCGUUAUCCGGAUUUAUUGGGCGUAAAGCGAGCGCAGACGGUUGAUUAAGUCUGAUGUGAAAGCCCGGAGCUCAACUCCGGAAUGGCAUUGGAAACUGGUUAACUUGAGUGUUGUAGAGGUAAGUGGAACUCCAUGUGUAGCGGUGGAAUGCGUAGAUAUAUGGAAGAACACCAGUGGCGAAGGCGGCUUACUGGACAACAACUGACGUUGAGGCUCGAAAGUGUGGGUAGCAAA
rnacentral:rRNA from 1 species